ACCGCAUCGGCCACGCGGCCGGGUCCCUAGGGCGGGCCAUCUCCUCGCCUCGACCGCGCCGCCUCCAGGCGUCCUCGCCGCAUCCCGGGCCGCCGCAUCGACCUCCCCACUCCUGCGUACGUCGCGCAGCACCGCCGCCGCGAGGCUUCUCCCCGCCCCCGCGUUCGUCGCAAGGCGCCGCCGGCUUCCCCCUCCCCUAACGCCACCACCUCUUCCUCCUCCUUCCCUUCCCCACCUGCGGCUGCCACCUUACCUUCUGCUAGCCCUCAAAUCUCGCCUCCGCCGCCAACUCCGGCCGCGAAUCGGGCCUCGGAUCGGCGCGGGCGCGCCAAUUGAUGUCCGAUCUGUGACGAGGGACAGCCCCCACCACCUCCUUCUCCGCGUCCGCGCCAGGUGCCGCCGCCCCUCCUCCAUCCAGGUGACGCCACCUCUCCUCCGUCCAGGCGCCGCCGCUCCGCCUCCCCGUUUCCGACGCGAUCUGCAACGACGCCUUCACCUCGGCCACCACUCACUUCUGCAUCCACCACGGUGUAUCUUUUGGGGGGGAGAGCCUUUGCCGCUCCCUCACUCUCUGUGUCACGUAUCUCCUCGGUUGCUGAUUCCCCGCUCGUUUGUCGCCAUUGCCGCACCUCGUGCACUGUGAAGGUUCAGAAGAGCUACUACCUGGUGAGCCUUGUUGACAACGACUACAUCCACGGGGAUCUGUUUGCCGCCUUCAAGGAGCUCUGAUCACCAAGAUCCAAUCCAUGCUGUUCUCUUCGCCAAACUUUGUUGGCCCAGGAGUCCUGAUCUGCUAGGUUUGCUUCAGUCCAUACGCUGGCACCGUCGUCUACAGCAUCGUGCUCCCCGCCUCGAGCUAGGCACUACAACCUGCGUGCAA